CGCGGUGAUACGGAGGGUGCAAGCGUUAAUCGGAAUUACUGGGCGUAAAGCGCACGCAGGCGGUUUGUUAAGUCAGAUGUGAAAUCCCCGCGCUUAACGUGGGAACUGCAUUUGAAACUGGCAAGCUAGAGUCUUGUAGAGGGGGGUAGAAUUCCAGGUGUAGCGGUGAAAUGCGUAGAGAUCUGGAGGAAUACCGGUGGCGAAGGCGGCCCCCUGGACAAAGUCUGACGCUCAGGUGCGAAAGCGUGGGGAGCAAACAGGAUUAGAUACCCUGGUAGUCCACGCUGUAAACGAUGUCGACUUGGAGGUUGUGCCCUUGAGGCGUGGCUUCCGGAGCUAACGCGUUAAGUCGACCGCCUGGGGAGUACGGCCGCAAGGUUAAAACUCAAAUGAAUUGACGGGGGCCCGCACAAGCGGUGGAGCAUGUGGUUUAAUUCGAUGCAACGCGAAGAACCUUACCUACUCUUGACAUCCACGGAAUUCGCCAGAGAUGGCUUAGUGCCUUCGGGAACCGUGAGACAGGUGCUGCAUGGCUGUCGUCAGCUCGUGUUGUGAAAUGUUGGGUUAAGUCCCGCAACGAGCGCAACCCUUAUCCUUUGUUGCCAGCACGUAAUGGUGGGAACUCAAAGGAGACUGCCGGUGAUAAACCGGAGGAAGGUGGGGGUGACGUCAAGUCAUCAUGGCCCUUACGAGUAGGGCUACACACGUGCUACAAUGGCAUAUACAAAGAGAAGCGAACUCGCGAGAGCAAGCGGACCUCAUAAAGUAUGUCGUAGUCCGGAUUGGAGUCUGCAACUCGACUCCAUGAAGUCGGAAUCGCUAGUAAUCGUAGAUCAGAAUGCUACGGUGAAUACGUUCCCGGGCCUUGUACACACCGCCCGUCACACCAUGGGAGUGGGUUGCAAAAGAAGUAGGUAGCUUAACCUUCGGGAGGGCGCUUACCACUUUGUGAUUCAUG
rnacentral:rRNA from 1 species